GUUUCAUUUAAAUUUAUUAUAGAAUUUUAUUUUUUAGUUAAAAAGCUAAAAUGAUUUCAAAAGACGAGAAGACCCUAUAAAUCAAGAUUAUUUAAUAAUUUUUAAUUUGUUUGGAUUAUUUUUAUUUUUAAUUAUUAAAUAAUUUUAUUGGGGUGAUGUUAAAAUUUAAUAAACUUUUAAUUUAUAUAUUUCAUUUAUUUAUGAAUUUAUGAUCCAUUUAUAGUGAUUAAAAAAUUAAGUUACUUUAGGGAUAACAGCGUAAUUUUUUUGGAGAGUUCUUAUCGAUAAAAAAGUUUGCGACCUCGAUGUUGGAUUAAGAUUCAUAUUUAAAUGCAGAAGUUUAAAUAUAAAGUCUGUUCGACUUUUUAUUCUUACAUGAUCUGAGUUCAAACCGGUGUAAGCCAGGUUGGUUUCUAUCUUUGAAUUAUAAAAAUAUUUUAGUACGAAAGGAAUAAAUAUUUAUUUUAUAAAAAUUUAUUUAUGAAU
rnacentral:rRNA from 1 species